UACGUAGGGGGCAAGCGUUGUCCGGAAUCAUUGGGCGUAAAGAGCGUGUAGGCGGCCUGAUAAGUCGGUUGUGAAAGUCAAGGGCUCAACCCUUGAAUGCCGGCCGAUACUGUCAGGCUAGAGUCCGGAAGAGGCGAGUGGAAUUCCUGGUGUAGCGGUGAAAUGCGCAGAUAUCAGGAGGAACACCAAUUGCGAAGGCAGCUCGCUGGGACGUUACUGACGCUGAGACGCGAAAGCGUGGGGAGCAAACAGG
rnacentral:rRNA from 1 species